UUUGCAUAAUGGAUUAACUAUAAUUAAUUAGAUCCAUUACCACGAAGUAGUUCUGAGCUAAAUAUAAUUACAAUGUUAGUUGUUUAGAUUUGGUGUGGCAAAACCUCAACCGAAAUUAUAUUUAGGGGUGAUAGGCCUCUCAAAAACUAAGAUAUCUUGAUUCCGAUGAAAUGUAUUUAGUACAGUUAAUACAUUUAUUAAGUGUUUAGGCUUAAUAAUAAUAUUAAUAUAUAUAUAUAUACUACAUUAUAUUACGUUUUAAUAAAUAAAUAUAUAUAUAAAACAUAUUAUACUUCUAUUAAAGUUAUAUUUAGUAAUUGGGUGCAGUUAAAUAAUAAUAUGUGUAAAAAAUGUUGGUAUUAGUAUAAUAAGUAAUUUUUAAUAAGGAACUCGGCAAAAUGUUUCUCAACUGUUUAUCAAAAACAUAACUAUGUGUGUUUAUACAUAGCGGUGUCUGCUCAAUGAUUUAUUAAAUAGCCGCAGUAUACUGACUGUGCAAAGGUAGCAUAAUCAAUUGGCUUAUAAUUGAAGUCUAGAAUGAAGGAAAGCAUGGGGAGCCACUGUCUUAUAAAAAUAUAGAGAAAUUAUUUAUGAAGUGAAAAUCCUUCUCUUAAGAUAAGGGACGAGAAGACCCUAGAAAAUUUUAGUAAUAUUAAUAUUAUCUUAAUAUUUUUUCGCUGGGGCGGCGGAGUAACAUUAAACCUACUUAUAUAAACCUGCGUCUUGUUUGGCGAUUGAUUAAUUUACUCUAGGGAUAACAGCAUAAUAUUGAAAAGUUUGUGACCUCGAUGUUGGAUUAGGACAUAAUAACCUAAAAGGUUUUUUAUAAUGCUCUGUUCGAGCAUAGACUCCUACAUGAUCUGAGU
rnacentral:rRNA from 1 species